GGGGACGUAGCUCAGCUGGGAGAGCACUUGAAUGGCAUUCAAGAGGUCGCGCGUUCGAUCCGCGUCGUCUCCA
rfam:Spirochaetes bacterium GWF1_41_5 gwf1_scaffold_2714, whole genome shotgun sequence.